GAAAGUUUCGAAGUCAGUCAUGGCAAGUCAGGACCUUCCCACGUGUUCUGAUUUGGUCAGAAAGAGUUGGGAGUCAUCGGGGUGGCAUAUCCAGCUCUCACCAGGAACGGUGCUCCAAGCUGGGAAGAAGCAACACCAGGAAAUCUGCUAGGAGCCCCAGUGAUGGGAGAGCAGACAUUGCCCUGUGACACAAAGAGAGACAAUAGAAAACAAGAAGGAAGAGCUCUAAAGAUUUUCAAGAUGCUGAGAAGAAAGCUUCUAGGUGAUCUAAGAAGUCAAGUUCUGAGACUUACUAAGAAAUUGCAGUGGAAGGAAAUUGGAGCCAGAAGUCCCUGGAGUCCCAUUUUUGAACUUUAUACCUGUGAUGGGAAAUUAUUCUAGCCUCUCUGAUCCUCAGUUUGCUUGCCUGAGAAAUGGAGAUGAUAACCCAUCCUGUCUUACUCACAGAGGCUGUGGCUGUCAUUAAGCAACAUAAUAAAAACUGGGAGGUUUAUUCAUUUGCAGACGCUCACCACAUUCCUCCAGGUUGACUGGAAGCUACAGUGAACAAUCAUCAUGAAAUACUGUAAAUCCAGGUCAUCUUGAUGAAUAAGUGGGUGGUCAGUCCCAUGGAGAAAUACAGCAUUUCCACAUACAACUCCAACACCAUGUAGAAAAAGUCAAAGGAUGCUGUCAACUGGUGGGCCAGCCAUGGUUCAGCUGGUAUUUGAGAAUGCAUCAAUCCCUCUGAGGUCUCUAAGAUUCAAGGUUUGUCCCCAGAAACUCAGAAGAAAUUGUAUAUUGUUUAAAAUGAAAUAACCAAGUCAUCAAAACUCAUGGCCCAUGAAUCUGUAAUGACCUGCUUGUUUCUUUCUUCCACGUUCCUCUGAUAUUGCACCUGUGAUCUGGAUCGGCUCCCUGUACCCUGUACCCUGAUGUCACUCCCAGCCUACUUCCCUCCCUUCAGGGGCACAGUGGCCCUAUGCAUUACUUUGUACCAUGCAGCAGCUCUGCUUCCGUGUGCUGACCUCUGCUGUGGUCUCAAGUCUUGCCCCUGGGCCCAGCCCCUCCCAUCUGCCUUUUUCAGAAUCAGACCUGUGGAUGUGGAGCCUUGGAAGCUGGGGUCACAUGAUUUGGGCUCCAACAGACUUGUGUGUACUCGAGUCUCUCUUUGGGGGUGCUCCAGGAAUUACUGCUAAAGGACACAGAGAAGGCUUGCAUGAGUCUUCUGCAGCACAUUAUGGGGCUUCCAGUUUGUGGCUCUCAAACUUCAGCAUGCAGAAGAGCCACAUA